rnacentral:lncRNA from 1 species
CAUCAUAUGCUGUGCUCCUCCUGAUCUGAGACCUAUUCGAGGUAGUCUCCUGUGGCAAUAAAAAUUUUACUUUACGAUGUCGCCUCUCAUCUUUUUGAGUCUCGCAUCUCGUACUCGAUCCACCUCCAUUUGGAGCUCCAUCUCACUUCGGGCUCUCUCUGGCUCUUGGAACUUUACCUCGCACUGGGCUCUUUGUCAGAUAGUAAUAUCCUCUCAUCCUCUUCUUCCCCUUCAAUAUCAUCUUAUCACCACACAAAACCUUCA